rnacentral:tRNA from 1 species
ACCGGUUUAGUUCAGCAGGCAGAAUGCCUGAUUGCGAAAUCAGGAUGACAGCGGUUCAACUCCGCUAACCGGUACCA